GCCUGUGCUGUGCUUUUAGGAGAUAAUUGUAACAUAUCCCUGGCUGAGCACCCAGGUGAUGUGAUACUCCUGCUUGGUUCUUUCCCUCCGGGAAGAUUGUGAGAUACCCUUGGCUGAAAUCCCAGGUCAUAAAGAAUUGCCACCCUCCAACAUAUCAUAUAAUGCCCUCGAGUGUUACAAAGAGUGUUAUCCCAGGGCACACAGCACAAAGGGAACGUCACUCCUGUGGAUGAUCAAAGCUACUCAGGGGGCUGAGGCAGGAGAAUCGCUUGAACUCGGGAAGCAGACGUUGCAGUGAGCCAAGGUCGCACCACUGCACUCCAGCCCAGGCGACAGUGUGAGACUCCACAUCAAAAAGAAAAAGAAAAAAAGUGUACUAACAAGACCCAGCACACAGAGGAGACUUUUACCAUUAUAUGAACACCCAUCAAACAGUACACAUCAUCAUUGUGAGUUCUGAAUCUCACACAUAGAGGAAGUCAAAGGUGGAAAAAUUGACUCUCAUAUUUGGAUUCAGUCCACAGGUGUGAUUUUGACACACACUUCUGCCUAGCACCUGAGUAAUGUGAUUCUUCAGAAUUGGCCCAGCCUACAGAUAGGAUUGUGCCACACUGCUGGACCCAGCACCUAAGUGAUGUAACUCUAUUCUUCUGCCUUGGUGCUACUCGAAAAAGACAUUGUAACAUAUCUCAGAGCCUUGCACCCAAGUAAUGUGAGUCUCCUCUUCUGCCUUUCUGCUGCACACAGAAGCAAGAUAUGUACAGGAUUGUUAAUCUCAUCUUGGACCUUCCUGCACAUGUGAUUGUGACACAUGCCUCUGUGUAGAACCUGAGUGAGUUUACUCUCCUGCCUGGAUUUAACCCAUAGAUGGAAUUGUGACAUAUCGCUGUACCAGAAACUAGGUGAUGUGACUCUAUUUUCUUGCCUCUGUGUUUUUAUAUGGGGCAUCGUGACAUAUCACUGGGCCUUGCACCCAAGUGAUGGGAGUUUUCUCUCCUGCUUUGGUGCUGUCCACAAUGAAAAUUGUGAAAUAUUGCUGCCCUCCCCGCUAGGUUAUGUUACUCUCCUGCCUCUGCUUUGCCCACAUGGGUCACUGUAACAUAUUGCUGGGUCUAAAACCCAGGUAAUGUCACUCUCUUGUUUGGGUUCUGCCUGCAGGAGUCAUUGUCACAUAUCUCUGUGCUCAUCACCCAGGUAAUAUGACUCCCUUUUACUGCUUAGUUCCUUCUCACAAAACAACUUGUGACAUAUUGCUAGGCCCAAUACACCUAGCUGGUGUAAUUCUUCUUUUUCUUUUUUUUUUUUUUUUUUUUGAGAUGGAGUCUCACUCUGUUGUCCAGGCUGGAGUGCAGUGGCAUGAUUUCAGCUCACUACAGCCUCUGCCUCCUAGGUUGAAGCGAUUGUCCUGCCUUAGCCUCCCAAGUAGCUGGGAUUAAAGGCAUGUGCCACCACGCCCGGCUAAUUUUUGUAUUUAUAGUAGAGACAGGGUUUCGCCAUGUUGGCUAGGCUGGAUUCGAACUUCUAACCUCAGGUGAUCCUCCCACCUCGGCCUCCCAAAGUACUGGGAUUACAGGCAUGAGCCACUGCACUUGGCCUGACUCUUCUCUUCUUUCUAGGUUUCAACUGCAGCAAAGAUUGUAAAAAACCACUGGGCCCAGCCGCAUAAUGACGUUACUCUUUUGCCUUGGGCCUGCCCUCAGAAGGCACUGUCACAUAUUCAUGGGCCCAACGCCAAGGUGAUAUGUGUCUCCAGCCUGGACCCUGCCCACAGGGGCCAUUGUGACAUAUCUCUUGGCCCAUCAGAUGUUUGAUGUUAUCCCCUCCCCUCUUCUACCCUGUGUUUGCCUAUAAGAGACAGAGUCACAUGUUCCUGGGCCCAGCACCUAAGUGAUGUCUUCCUGGAAUGUGUCCACAUGGGGAUUGUGAUAUGUCACGUGGCGCAGUACUUAACUUGAUGUGACUCUCCUCUCAUGCCUAGGCCUUGUAGAGAAUCCCCUUCCCCUUUUGUUUUCCUUUCUUUCUUUGCAGAUCCAGGAGAUAAUCAACUAAGAGCCAGGUACCCGUUUAGGUCUAAUAAGAAACAUUUUACAACCUGCUCUCUCUUUUAAUUCACUUAUCUGAGAGAUUCCUCUGUACAAUAAAACUUGGUCUCCACAAUCCUUUACCUUAACCUAAACCUUCCCUUUCAUUGAUCCCAGGUCUUCAGAUUCCACCAAUUGUCAACCACAAAAUAUUUAAAUUUACCCGCUUUGAGUUGUCCCGCCUUUCUGAACCAAACCAAUAUAUUCUUGCAAAACCGGCCAUGAUUAAAACAUCAAAAAAUAAUAUAUGUUGGCUUGGCUGUCGUGAAAAAAGAAUACUUUUUCACUGCUGGUGGGUAUGUAAACUAGUACAACCACUAUGAAAAACAGUAUGGAGAUUCAUUAAAUAAAAGUAAAGCUACCAUUUGAUUAAGCAAUUCUACUACUGCAUAUCUACAUGAAGAAAAAAAUUAUAUGAGUAAGACACUUGCACACAUAUGU